AAACUUUGCGUACAACAAAUUUAAUGAUGGUGGACAACAUUGUUUGCUGAUAUUUGUAGAUAUAUUUUGACUGCUACCAUCUUAAAUAUUGAAUUUUAUUUUCCACGAGGCGCUGCGGCAUGUUCGUUAAAAGCUGGAAUAUUUCAUUAAAUGAAAAUUAAAAGGGCGAAAAUGUCAGAAAUUUUGAAGAACGAUCGCUUUAAAUUUAUCAGGCGAUUAAAUGAGUUACACAUCAGAGGAAAAUAUAGGAGUUUCUUUACUUUAGCUUCCGUCAAUGCGUUGGCCAUUCCGCAAUCACGGUGAAUGCAAAAAUACGGAGGAAACAAGAUCGAAACAACUCAUAAAUAUCAAUGACAGCGUUGCUAGUUGGACAUUCCAUUCACACAACGACAUUUGAAUAAAAAGGGGGAGUUAUUUUAUAAACAUUCAAGUAACGAUUGCGGGUUAGAGGUGACUAAAGCUAGAGUAGCUCCGCAGCAGGCUGGUGUUUAUAUCGGAACGGCCCUGAAUUUUACCUGGCUAAAGACCACACUGUUGUCAACGUUCAAUGUCCAGGUACAAGCGUAUUUAAUAAAAAAAAGGAUUCUCAACUAUCUAGCUGAUGUGAAUAGUCUUCCGUGGUUAAUACAAAUUGUGUAUUAAGUACAAAUUAAUGAAUUGUUUUCAGUUGUGUUCUCAACAUAUAUAUGUAAUAUCUGUGUGUGCGAAUAAUUUAAAAUUU